rnacentral:lncRNA from 1 species
CUCAGGUUCUGGAGGCCGCGGUCGACUCCACAGGGAGACCUUAAAACCUCAAGUUCUGCAGCUGUAUUAGUCAUAAACAACAACAAUAGUAAUGAUAAUUCUUUCCCACGUCUACGGAAACUUGCAGGCGCAUACUUCAGUGCUUCCCCGAAUAUGAUCUGGUGAAACUGACAGCCUCCAGUUUACCCCUGAAGGACCUUGGCUGAAGAAAGGGUGAGUGACUUGGCUCGAACGACGGCGCACGUCACUGCACAGCCAGAAAUAACAUCGCGGGGCUACGUAGCUUUGUUGUCAUAGUUUGUUAUCUUUCACAAAAGGCAAUGAGGCCUAAUGAAUUCAUGUGAACCCUCACGGCACGGCACGGGGGUCAGGUUUUGGGGAAUUGAUGGUGUGAAUCCUGCUCUCAGCCAGGGAAAUUUGGCUCGGACUUUCGGUGACUGGCUUCAGAAACAGUUACCUGGAGACUGA